CCGCAUACGUCCUACGGGAGAAAGUGGGGGCUCUUCGGACCUCACGCUAUCGGAUGAGCCUAGGUCGGAUUAGCUAGUUGGUGGGGUAAAGGCCCACCAAGGCGACGAUCCGUAACUGGUCUGAGAGGAUGAUCAGUCACACUGGAACUGAGACACGGUCCAGACUCCUACGGGAGGCAGCAGUGGGGAAUAUUGGACAAUGGGCGAAAGCCUGAUCCAGCCAUGCCGCGUGUGUGAAGAAGGUCUUCGGAUUGUAAAGCACUUUAAGUUGGGAGGAAGGGCUGUAAGUUAAUACCUUGCAGUUUUGACGUUACCGACAGAAUAAGCACCGGCUAACUUCGUGCCAGCAGCCGCGGUAAUACGAAGGGUGCAAGCGUUAAUCGGAAUUACUGGGCGUAAAGCGCGCGUAGGUGGUUUGGUAAGUUGGAUGUGAAAGCCCCGGGCUCAACCUGGGAACUGCAUCCAAAACUGCCUGACUAGAGUACGGUAGAGGGUGGUGGAAUUUCCUGUGUAGCGGUGAAAUGCGUAGAUAUAGGAAGGAACACCAGUGGCGAAGGCGACCACCUGGACUGAUACUGACACUGAGGUGCGAAAGCGUGGGGAGCAAACAGGAUUAGAUACCCUGGUAGUCCACGCCGUAAACGAUGUCGACUAGCCGUUGGGCUCCUUGAGAGCUUAGUGGCGCAGCUAACGCAUUAAGUCGACCGCCUGGGGAGUACGGCCGCAAGGUU
rnacentral:rRNA from 1 species